rnacentral:misc_RNA from 1 species
GGAAGGAUCAUUGCUGAGUUACUGGAGACAAUGCAUGGUGAUUGCUUCGGCAUUGCCAGGCUUGUUUCUUUUCUCUUCAACCCUUUUGUUUUUCUUCUUAGUUGCUUUGGCAAGAUGUCUUUGGAUGUCUUGUCAAAUGAUUUCUAUAAACUCUUUGUUAACAACAUUAGUUUGUCUUUAUGUCUGAUUUUAUUACUUAAUAGUAUAAAAACUUUCAACAACGGAUCUCUUGGUUCUGGCAUCGAUGAAGAACGCAGCGAAAUGCGAUACGUAAUGUGAAUUGCAGAAUUCCGUGAAUCAUCGAAUCUUUGAACGCAUAUUGCGCCUUCUGGUACUCCAGGAGGCAUGCCUGUCUGAGCGUCAUUACAUCAUUUAAACCAACUUGUUGUGUUUAGACUUGGGAGUUUGAUUACUGAACUGGCAUCUGCUAGUUUGUUGUAUAUCUCUUCUGUAAUGUAUUGAUAGCGAUACAAGCCUUCAGUCGUAACAAGUUUACUUUUUGUUUACAUUCGACUUUGAUUGCCUGUGUUACAUUGUCUAUUUCUUUUCGACAUGGCUUUGCCAUUGUCAACCUAAAGAUUUGACCUCAGAUCAGGUAGGAAUACCCGCUGAACUUAAGCAUAUCAAUAAGCGGAGGAAAAGAAACCAACAGGGAUUGCCCUAGUAACGGCGAGUGAAGCGGCAACAGCUCAAAUUUGAAAUCUGGCUCUCGGGCCCGAAUUGUAAUUUGUAGAGGAUACUUUGGUGCGGCCUUGGUCUAAGUUCCUUUGAACAGGACAUCAUAGAGGGUGAGAAUCCCGUAUGUGAUCACAGGCUUUAACCAUGUAAAGUUCCUUCAAUGAGUCGAGUUGUUUGGGAAUGCAGCUCUAAAUGGGAGGUAAAUUUCUUCUAAAGCUAAAUAUUGGCCAGAGACCGAUAGCGAACAAGUAGAGUGAUCGAAAGAUGAAAAGUACUUUGGAAAGAGAGUUAAAUUGUAUGUGAAAUUGUUGAAAGGGAAGCGCUUGCAAUCAGACUUGUCUGUAGUUGCUCAACUUGACUUUUGUCUUGUGUACUCUUCUACAUGCAGGCCAGCAUCAGUUUAAGUGGUAGGAUAAAGAUUCAGGAAAUGUAGCCACUUCUUUUCGGAGUUGUGGUGUUAUAGUCCUGGGUGGCAUACUACCAAUUUGGACUGAGGAUCGCGCCUUACGGUACGGAUGCUGGCGUAAUGGUUGUAAGCGGCCCGUCUUGAAACACGGACCAAGGAGUCUAACAUCUGUGCGAGUGUUUGGGUGUCAAGCCCGCACGCGUAAUGAAAGUAAAUGGAGGUGGGAACCCCUUACGGGAUGCACCAUCGACCGAUCCUGAUGUUCUCGGAUGGAUUUGAGUAAGAGCACAGCUGUUGGGACCCGAAAGAUGGUGAACUAUGCCUGUGUAGGCUGAAGUCAGAGGAAACUCUGAUGGAAGGUCGCAGCGGUUCUGACGUGCAAAUCGAUCGUCAAACAUGGGUAUAGGGGCGAAAGACUAAUCGAACCAUCUAGUAGCUGGUUCACGC